rnacentral:misc_RNA from 1 species
AAGUUCACGCGCAAAGUUAAACGGCGCCACUUCGCGGAAGUUUACGGAAUUACGGAUCGAUAGAAAAUAAGAAGCAAUAGAAAAUAAAAAGCAAUAGAAGGUAUUCACCGAAUAAUCGUCAUCCUGUUAAAGAGAACAAAAAUGGAUUUCAACGUAAAGAAAUUGGUUAAGGAUGCUGGUGCUGCAUUGAGCAGAGUUGUACAGCUAACAGAAGAAACGUUAGGUACAUCCGAGAAAACUGAAUUAGAUGCACAUUUAGAACAUCUCGCUGAAAGGGCAAAUGCAACUAAAACGUGGACAGAAAAAGUUCUCAGGAAUAUGGAAGCUGUACUUACUCCUAAUCCAGGAAAUAGAAUUGAGGAUUUCUUUUAUGAAAAAAUUGAUAAAAAGAAACCCAACAGACUUAGCAAUCUCGAAUAUGUAGGCAUCGAUAUGAUAGAAGCUGGAAAUGAUUUUGGUCCUGGUAUCGCUUAUGGUAGCUCUUUGAUAAAAGUAGGUCAGUGUCAACAAAAAUUAGGUCAAAUCGAAAGAGAUUUUAUUGGAAUUGCAGCCAAUUGUUAUAUACAACCGUUAAGAAAGUUUUUAGACGGAGAAAUGAAAACUGUUAGCAAGGAGAUGGCUAUAUUAGAAAUUAAGAGGUUGGAUUUAGAUGCAUGUAAGAAUCGAGUAAGGAAAGCCAGAAGCAUGGUGGGCCAACAGAGUGACUCUGGCGUUUCACCCGAAGUAUUACUCGAUCAGGCAGAGAGGGAGCUGAGGGUGGCACAAUCGGAAUUUGAUCGGCAAGCAGAAAUCGCGAAGCUACUUUUAGAAGGAGUAUCUAGUUCCCAAGCUGGACAUUUGAGAUGUUUACACGAAUUCGUGGAAGCACAAGCACGUCAUUACGCGCAAUGUCAUGCGACUAUGCAAGAAUUGCAACGUGAACUUGCCGGCUUAACUGGGGGUCCCUAUUACUCGACCGCCUCAACAAAUCCUACUGCACAAGUGGAAAAUGGUCAAGAUCGUGCAAGAGUAGUCUGUGAUUAUGAUGCUAGGGAUUCAACCGAACUUAGUGUCAUGCAAGACGAGGUAACCAAAUUUGUGAUUUAGGUAGAUGACAGCAUGCGUUCCAUGUAUCCAUAAACAAGGCAUGAUAUUCGUCCGAACUGUUACACUAUAAUCAAGUUUAUAAAAAAUAAUAUAAGAAGUUCCAUGUAAUACUCAAAUGGAAGUGAUCUAGGAUAAUAAAUUUCUAUUGUAGGAGAAUUGGCAUUAUACUUAUCAUGCGAAUAGAUGCAUGAAAAAAUAAUAUUAAUUAACUUUUAAAUAGAUAUAUUAAAUAGAUUUUAUAAAAAUAUAUAUAUAGAUAGAGUAACGAAUAAUUUUUUAUAUUUU